UUAGCUUCGUUACAUCAUCAUGACCACGAUCAUAGUCAUGGAGAUUCAAAAACAAAGUUAUGGGUGGGCCCUGAUGGGAGGGUGUACCAUAGCCACGAUGGACUGGCACCUCAUUCACAUGAAACUCCCCGGGUUACUUCAGCUUCAGCAGAAGAGCUCCACCACUUCUCACAAGGGAUUUCAAUGAAAGAGCUUUCGCCGUUGGCAUCGGUGGCCCAAUUGGUACUGGGAAAACAGCUUUAAUGCUUGCUCUCUGCCAAUUUUUGCGGGACAAGUACAGUCUUGCUGCAGUGACAAAUGAUAUAUUCACAAAGGAGGAUGGUGAGUUCUUGGUAAAACAUGGAGCACUUCCUGAGGAAAGGAUACGUGCUGUGGAAACUGGGGGCUGCCCACACGCUGCCAUUCGUGAAGACAUUAGCAUUAAUCUUGGCCCUCUUGAGGAGCUCUCUAAUUUGUACAAAGCAGACAUACUUCUUUGUGAAUCAGGGGGAGAAAAUUUAGCUGCCAACAUCAGUAGAGAACUGGCUGACUACAUCAUCUAUAUAAUAGAUGUAUCUGGUGGUGAUAAAAUACCUCGGAAAGGUAUUUUAAAUUCAUAA